CACCUCACUCUCACUCUUACUCAACAACAGGAACAAAUUACUCUUGGAGUGAGUUCGGAUUAUUACCACAAUGCGAUAGAUAGUGAGAAAGUGGUAAUGACGCUGGCGAUGAUGAUAGAAGAAGACGAAGACGCAGAAAUAGAGCACGUGUUUAUUGCUCAUGAAAUUGACCUCGAUUACGAGUUUGAUGCAGCUCGCUUCUUCGAUUUCACUCGACCGGAGACUCCUGCAGAAGCUCACGAAGCCGAACUUUGGUUUCAAAAUGCCGCUAGUUACCCUCCUUCGCCUUUUGUGAGAAGGCUAGUGGCGAGAGAGGAGUUGUUCUUGGAAGACGUUUGCGAUUCGCCCAAGUCCGAGUAUGUGGAAUGCACGAGUAAUGUGGAUGAUGAAAAAUCUAGUGUUCGGUUAGGGAUGGGGUUUGCGGACACGGCUUUCGACAAUUAUGGUUCUAAAGCACCUGGUGAAAAUAUCUCUAGCUUGUUGGCCGGAAUUCUGCAAAAUGAUGGUACAAGGCCAUUGCAAGUACCUACAGGACUUACCUUUGGCAGUAAGACAAUCAGCAACAAUUUGAAUUCUAUGGCCAAAUCUGCUGUGCCAAAGAGUUCAACAUUAAUGAAACCUACAGCUAGUCAAUUGGCGAAGCAAAAUCACCCUGCUAAAAAAUUUGGUUCAAGAUUUCAGAAGCCGCGAACUCAGAAUGAACAAAAUUUAUCUAUCUCUUCCGGGGUAGAAAAUCAAGCUGCCAAGCGGCAAAAAUUAGAGGGUGGUCUCUUGUGUAAGGUUUCUGAUAUGAAGCAGCAAAACAAUUUUUUCCACAAGACACCGAUGAGGGCUGUCACUGUUGAACAAAACUCUUCAGGUUCCAAGCUGAAGCUUACUAUUCCAAGGGAGCCUGACCUUAAAACUGCACAUAGAGCACAAAGGAUAAGACCCAAAAAUGUUGGAGAGGCAGAGCAUGUGACAGUUGCUGCUCCCAGAUUCAAAGCCCGCCCGUUAAAUAGAAAAAUCCUUGAGGCUCCUUCAUUGCUACCUCCCAAAAGGAGCACUCCAAGGUUGCCUGAAUUUCAGGAAUUUCACUUGAAAACUUUCGAGAGGGCCAUACAACACACAUCUGCUACAUCAUCUGCACUUCACUGCAAUGAUUCUGAUAAGGGUUGGGACAAGCAUACUGCUGUUUCUGCUCUAGAAAAUAGAGUCAGGGAUCUAAGAAGACCAACUGCCAUGGGUGCACCAACUUAUGAUGGACUGGGUAAUACUCGUAUUUUUAAAGUUCGGCCUUUUAAUAAGAAGAUACUUCCAAGUAAAGGAGAUGUUGGUGUUUUCCAUAUCAGCAAACAGGAAACAACAGUCCCAAUGGAAUUUGAUUUACAGGCUGAAAAGGAGGUUCAACAUAACCCACCAAUUGAACUCUUUAGCAAGCUGUCUCUGACAUCUGAAGGCCAGCCAAAUAAUGGAUCUAAUUUUAAACUGCCUCAGCAUUCCGGGAUGUGUAGAAAGGACUCAAAAGAAAAUAUAUUAAAUUCUUUUCGUCCGAACCAAGAGGCAUGAUGCAGGAGAAGGCUUUUAUGUUAGGGGCAAACCAAAUUCCUCGAGGGAAUGACGGUUGCAUGAGUCUGAUGAAUGCAAGGAGGAGCUUGGGAAUUCGGUGACAUUAAACUUGGAUUUUUGUUGCUGACAUGAAGAUUGACGAUACUUAAUUCAAUAGUUGAAUCUGACCGUCGCCUAACAACUCUUUGCGGAUGAUACUAUGAUAGGUGUAUAUUUUUUUUGUACACAGAAUCUUAGAUUUUUUUUAAAGAAAUUAACAUGUCUAGGUGCACAGCUUGUAUCUUCUAUAACUGCCCCUGAUCCUAAUCCAUAAAAUAUAUUGUUAA